rnacentral:misc_RNA from 1 species
UAGUUGAGUGCCACUCAGGGAGAU